ensembl:lncRNA
AUGGGUCAAAUUCCUCUCCUUUCCAGGCUGCCUGGUCCAAAGCACAGAGCCGGCCGCCAUCUCUCCGGACAAAAAGGAGCUGAUCGUCUUGUCCCUCUCCAAGCUGCACCGGGACCCGGACCCUUCCGUGCGCCUGGCGGCCUUGCAAGCCGUGCGCAUGGUGCAGGAGGCCAAUGGGGCCUGCGCAACUUCCCCUCGGAGCCAGACCUCCUUGCACCGCCUUUCCAGCCAGGAGCGGCCGGAGGGCUUCUCCAACCGAGGACGAUGGGACCCGCUGGACCCGGCGCUGACCCACCGGUGGAACCCAGCCUCGCCCUCCUCCUACCGGAUCGUGCCCAACAUCGCCAAGAAGAGGCCACCCAACUCCAACCGCCAGGCCUGAUGCCCCGACCCAGACAGAAGGGUCACCGUGUGAAGAAUUGGGGACAACCCAAGGAGAGAGAGGCUCAAGGACGCAGCCCAACAGGAGCAGAGCUGUAGGUGAAAACAGACGGAGACGGGGACUCUGUGGGCUAGAUUCAGCUCCUGUCCUGGAAUGAAGAGUGCUGUCCACACUCGACCCAGUUGAUUCCAUGUUCCCAUCCCAAGGAACUGGAAGCUCAAGGCAAACUCUGGGAAGGUGAGUUUCCAUUGCAGAACAAGAAAGGCUUCUCUGACAGAAGCUUUGCCAACAACACAGGGAGUAAAGCAGGGAUAGAGCCAUAGAUUAAUAGAGAUUGAAAACACCACAUGGGCUAUCUAGUCCAACCCCUUUCUGCCAUGUAGGAAAAGCACAAUCAAAGCACACUCGACAGAUGGCCCUCCGUUUGGACAGAUGGCCAUCCGUUUUUAGAGGUCAUAACCUUUUACAAAACCAGGAAUCUCCAAAGCCUUUUUUGAAGGGUCAACAUUUUGGAAAUUGGGUUGAAGCUGUGGCGCAGGCUGGUGAGCAGUCAGCUGCAGCCAGCUGCAACAAAUCACUCUGACCAAGAGGUCAUGAGUUCGAGGCCAGCUCGGAGCUGCAUUUGUCUCUGUCUUUGUUCUAUGUUAAGGCAUUGAAUGUUUGUCUUAUAUGUGUAAUGUGAUCUGUCCUGAGUCCCCUUCGGGGUGAGAAGGGCGGAAUAUAAAUACUGUAAAUAAACUGUAAAUAAAUAAUAAGCCAGAAAAUAGUAAACUUUUGCCUAUGUGGCUUUGCCUCUGCAUAUGCCCCUCCCUUUCUGUGAGCUGGUGCCUUUCUCCAGGAAGUUCCAAACAGAGAAGAAAGCUCAGAGUAAACAAGUUAGGUCAUUGGUAUCACUUGUGCCAAGUGAGUGUGGAAGGUGAGGAAGACCCUCAGCCAUUGGUCAAUUUUAGAUAAGCCAAGAUAUACAUUCUUUGUUUGAAACGCACAUGUUGCGACGGCCAUUUGCAUGGUACGGACCCAUUAGAGUGGGUGCCUACAGCUGUUUGCCUUAUCAUUAGCUGUGAUAACAAUAAAAGGCUUGCUUUAUUGCUCUCUUGGAAUUCUCUCCUUUACUUCUCCUCCGGGCCAGUCCCCAACAGGAUUGCUGUGAGUUUUCCAGGCUGUGGGAGGGACUACAGACCAUGUGACCAGAUCUGGGACUAUUCAGACUGAGACUCCAUUUAAGAAGUCAGUUUGCAUCAGAAGUCAAGAAAUCAGUACAGUUUAGAAGUCAGUCAGUACAGUAUAUGAUGGAUGUGAAUGAUGGAUGUGAGGUGGAUGUAUUGAGACUCACAGCCUUCCGUCUCAAUAUUCCCCUCAGUUUGGCAAACUCAGCAUCUGCUUGUCAGCACGAACAAAUUAGAUUGUGUCGCUAUCUGCGAACUUGGCAGUAAUCAAUCUUUAUUUACAGUAUUUACAUAGAAGCAGCCGCUGCUGCCCCGAACACAUGUUGCUUGUACCAUUGGAAGCUUCAGAAUCUCUUAAUUUUUCGUGGUUUGAAGAAUUGUAUGUUAAGAGAUUCUGAAGCUCCCAAUGAUCUCUGGGGGGAGGCUUUUCAAGCUGCAAAUCAUGUUCUCAAUAGUAUACGAUUCUCAGUGUUAUAGUAAAGUCAGUGUCAGUAUGCUGCAGUUUGUAUUGAGUCAAUGUUCAGUAAUG